rnacentral:rRNA from 1 species
GUGACUGCGUACCUUUUGUAUAAUGGGUCAGCGACUUAUAUUCUGUAGCAAGGUUAACCGAAUAGGGGAGCCGGAGGGAAACCGAGUCUUAAUUGGGCGUUAAGUUGCAGGGUAUAGACCCGAAACCCGGUGAUCUAGCCAUGGGCAGGUUGAAGGUUGGGUAACACUAACUGGAGGACCGAACCGACUAAUGUUGAAAAAUUAGCGGAUGACCUGUGGCUGGGGGUGAAAGGCCAAUCAAACCGGGAGAUAGCUGGUUCUCCCCGAAAGCUAUUUAGGUAGCGCCUCGUGAAUUCAUCUCCGGGGGUAGAGCACUGUUUCGGCUAGGGGGCCAUCCCGGCUUACCAACCCGAUGCAAACUGCGAAUACCGGAGAAUGUUAUCACGGGAGACACACGGCGGGUGCUAACGUCCGUCGUGAAGAGGGAAACAACCCAGACCGCCAGCUAAGGUCCCAAAGUCAUGGUUAAGUGGGAAACGAUGUGGGAAGGCCCAGACAGCCAGGAUGUUGGCUUAGAAGCAGCCAUCAUUUAAAGAAAGCGUAAUAGCUCACUGGUCGAGUCGGCCUGCGCGGAAGAUGUAACGGGGCUAAACCAUGCACCGAAGCUGCGGCAGCGACRCUGUGYGUUGUUGGGUAGGGGAGCGUUCUGUAAGCCUGUGAAGGUGUGUCGUGAGGCAUGCUGGAGGUAUCAGAAGUGCGAAUGCUGACAUAAGUAACGAUAAAGCGGGUGAAAAGCCCGCUCGCCGGAAGACCAAGGGUUCCUGUCCAACGUUAAUCGGGGCAGGGUGAGUCGACCCCUAAGGCGAGGCCGAAAGGCGUAGUCGAUGGGAAACGGGUUAAUAUUCCCGUACUUGGUGUUACUGCGAAGGGGGGACGGAGAAGGCUAUGUUGGCCGGGCGACGGUUGUCCCGGUUUAAGCGUGUAGGUGUGUGUUCCAGGUAAAUCCGGUUCACUUUAACACUGAGGCGUGAYGACGAGGCACUACGGUGCUGAAGCAACAAAUGCCCUGCUUCCAGGAAAAGCCUCUAAGCAUCAGGUAACAUCAAAUCGUACCCCAAACCGACACAGGUGGUCAGGUAGAGAAUACCAAGGCGCUUGAGAGAACUCGGGUGAAGGAACUAGGCAAAAUGGUGCCGUAACUUCGGGAGAAGGCACGCUGACAUGUAGGUGAAGUGAUUUACUCAYGGAGCUGAAGUCAGUCGAAGAUACCAGCUGGCUGCAACUGUUUAUUAAAAACACAGCACUGUGCAAACACGAAAGUGGACGUAUACGGUGUGACGCCUGCCCGGUGCCGGAAGGUUAAUUGAUGGGGUCAGCGCAAGCGAAGCUCCUGAUCGAAGCCCCGGUAAACGGCGGCCGUAACUAUAACGGUCCUAAGGUAGCGAAAUUCCUUGUCGGGUAAGUUCCGACC